rnacentral:rRNA from 1 species
GACGAACGCUGGCGGCGUGCUUAACACAUGCAAGUCGAACGGAAAGACCCUGCUUUUGUGGGGUGCUCGAGUGGCGAAAGGGUGAGUAACACGUGAGUAACCUGCCCUUGACUUUGGGAUAACUUCAGGAAACUGGGGCUAAUACCGGAUAGGAGCUCCUGCUGCAUGGUGGGGGUUGGAAAGUUUCGGCGGUUGGGGAUGGACUCGCGGCUUAUCAGCUUGUUGGUGGGGUAGUGGCUUACCAAGGCUUUGACGGGUAGCCGGCCUGAGAGGGUGACCGGCCACAUUGGGACAGAGAUACGGCCCAGACUCCUAAGGGAGGCAGCAGUGGGGAAUAGUGCACAAUGGGCGGAAGCCUGAUGCAGCAACGCCGCGUGAGGGAUGACGGCCUUCGGGUUGUAAACCGCUUUCGCCUGUGACGAAGCGUGAGUGAAGGUAAUGGGUAAAGAAGCACCGGCUAAAUACGUG